UACGGGGGGGGCAAGCGUUGUUCGGAAUUACUGGGCGUAAAGGGCGCGUAGGCGGUCCGCUAAGUUGAAUGUGAAAACUCUGGGCUUAACCCAGAGCCUGCAUUCAAUACUGGCAGGCUAGAGUUCUGGAGGGGAUAGCGGAAUUCCUGGUGUAGCGGUGAAAUGCGUAGAUAUCUGGAGGAAUACCGGUGGCGAAGGCGGCAUCCUGGACCGGCAUUGACGCUGAGGCGCGAAAGCCAGGGGAGCAAACGGG
rnacentral:rRNA from 1 species